AUCACUUCUUGGCCUUUUGGUUAGACCAAGUGCAGUAUCUGUUCUUAUCAAUUUAAUAUUUGAUACAUUCUCUAUCUGAGGACAAUAUUUUAAAUGGAUUUUUGGAGCUGGGAGAUAGACAAGGAGCUUGCUCUGUCCACUCCAUACGUGGACUUGUUAUUGCAGUGCCUUCAGGGAUGGUACACUGCCC
ensembl:snRNA U2 U2 spliceosomal RNA